UGAACGCUAGCGGCAGGCUUAAUACAUGCAAGUCGAGGGGCAGCGGGAGUAGCAAUACUUGCCGGCGACCGGCGCACGGGUGCGUAACACGUAUACAAUCUGCCUCUUACUGGAGCAUAGCCCGGAGAAAUCCGGAUUAAUACUCCAUAACAGCGGGAUCGGCAUCGAUCCUUCUUAAAAGUUCCGACGGUAAGAGAUGAGUAUGCGGCUGAUUAGCUUGUUGGUGAGGUAACGGCUCACCAAGGCAACGAUCAGUAGGGGAUCUGAGAGGACUACCCCCCACACUGGUACUGAGACACGGACCAGACUCCUACGGGAGGCAGCAGUAAGGAAUAUUGGACAAUGCCCGCAAGGGUGAUCCAGCCAUGCCGCGUGCAGGAAGAAGGCGCUAUGCGUCGUAAACUGCUUUUGCACCAGAGAAAACCCUUCUACGUGUAGGGGGCUGAUAGUAUGGUGAGAAUAAGCAUCGGCUAACUUCGUGCCAGCAGCCGCGGUAAGACGAAGGAUGCAAGCGUUAUCCGGAUUCAUUGGGUUUAAAGGGAGCGUAGGUGGCUUUGUAAGUCAGUGGUGAAAUCUUCUCGCUUAACGAGAAAACUGCCAUUGAUACUGCAGAGCUUGAGUACAGUUGCCGUUGGCGGAAUAUGACAUGUAGUGGUGAAAUACAUAGAGAUGUCAUAGAACACCGAUUGCGAAGGCAGCUAACGAAACUGUAACUGACACUGAGGCUCGAAAGUGCGGGGAUCAAACAGGAUUAGAUACCCUGGUAGUCCGCACUGUAAACGAUGAUUACUCGCUGCUGGAGGGCAACUUUCAGUGGCUUAGCGAAAGCGAUAAGUAAUCCACCUGGGGAGUACGCCGGCAACGGUGAAACUCAAAU
rnacentral:rRNA from 1 species